rnacentral:rRNA from 1 species
GACGUAGGGGACGAGCGUUGUCCGGAUUCAUUGGGCGUAAAGCGCGCGUAGGCGGUCUGUCGCGUCGGAUGUGAAAAUCCAGGGCUCAACCCUGGACCUGCAUUCGAUACGGGCAGACUAGAGUUCGGUAGGGGAGACCGGAAUUCCUGGUGUAGCGGUGAAAUGCGCAGAUAUCAGGAGGAACACCGGUGGCGAAGGCGGGUCUCUGGGCCGAAACUGACGCUGAGGAGCGAAAGCGUGGGGAGCAAACAGG